rnacentral:rRNA from 1 species
UCGGAUCGGGGUCUGCAACUCGACCCCGUGAAGUCGGAGUCGCUAGUAAUCGCAGAUCAGCAACGCUGCGGUGAAUACGUUCCCGGGCCUUGUACACACCGCCCGUCACGUCACGAAAGUCGGUAACACCCGAAGCCGGUGGCCUAACCCCUUGUGGGAGGGAGCCGUCGAAGGUGGGACCGGCGAUUGGGACGAAGUCGUAACAAGGUAGCCGUACCGGAAGGUGCGGCUGGAUCACCUCCUUU